UCCCUGAUGGUCCAGUGGUUAGGCCUCGGUGCUUUCACUGCUGUGGCCUGGGUUCAGUCCCUGGUCUGGGAG
rnacentral:tRNA from 1 species